rnacentral:rRNA from 1 species
AGUGAACGCUGGCGGCAGGCCUAAUACAUGCAAGUCGAACGGCAGCACAGCAGAGCUUGCUCUGUGGGUGGCGAGUGGCGGACGGGUGAGGAAUACAUGGGAAUCUGCCCAGUCGUGGGGGAUAACGUAUGGAAACGUACGCUAAUACCGCAUGCGCCCUAAGGGGGAAAGCCGGGGACCGCAAGGCCUGGCGCGAUUGGAUGAGCCCAUGUUCGAUUAGCUAGUUGGCGGGGUAAAGGCCCACCAAGGCGACGAUCGAUAGCUGGUCUGAGAGGAUGAUCAGCCACACUGGAACUGAGACACGGUCCAGACUCCUACGGGAGGCAGCAGUAGGGAAUAUUGGACAAUGGGGGCAACCCUGAUCCAGCCAUGCCGCGUGAGUGAAGAAGGUCCUCGGGUUGUAAAGCUCUUUUGUCCGGAAAGAAAAGCAAUCGGUUAAUACCCGGUUGUUCUGACGGUACCGGAAGAAUAAGCACCGGCUAACUUCGUGCC